rnacentral:rRNA from 1 species
UACGGAGGGUGCGAGCGUUGUUCGGAAUCACUGGGCGUAAAGCGCGUGUAGGCGGCCCAUUAAGUCUGAUGUGAAAGCCCGGGGCUCACCCCCGGAAGUGCAUUGGAAACUGAUGGACUCGAGUCCCGGAGAGGAGAGUGGAAUUCCUGGUGUAGCGGUGAAAUGCGUAGAUAUCAGGAGGAACACCGGUGGCGAAGGCAGCUCUCUGGACGGUGACUGACGCUGAGGCGCGAAAGCGUGGGGAGCAAACAGG